rnacentral:lncRNA from 1 species
GGAAAUAUUGGAAAUUAAAAUCGGCUCGGGAAUUGGUUACAUCAACGAGUAUUCAUCACAAAUAAUUUUUUUUUUUUUUAUUAUCCACCGAAACUCAUUACAAAGAAAACCCCAAAAGAGGGUAAGAAAUGUAAUAAAAAAAGAUUUCCUAUUAAGACUAGAAUUUCUGGAGUAGCAAAUUUGUCCCCAAAAGGGGCUGGAUUCCGGAUAUGAGAAAACCCAAAAUAUCCAAUCAGCUUCAACUUCUUCAGCGGUCAUCUUCGACAAAAUUUUGGGGAGCCCGAAACCGAUAUUUGUCUUUAUACUUCCUCAAUCUUCCAACAAAACCGAAAUUGAACCGAACCAACACGAUCUUCAAAAAUUAUUCUUUACAAAGAAUAGAACUCCUCAUACGAAAACGCUGCCUACGGACGAAAAUACCAUGUGCCAGACGAGUCUCUGUUGUAAGACUGAUGCAUGGAGAUCAUUUUGCUGGAAAAAAAAAAAAAAAACUUGACGAUGAAUGUGAUUAUGAGCAUAAUCCGCUAGGCAAUCGGCCACAAUGUUUUGCUCCCAAAAACAUAAUGAAGACUAAACGUGUUGUGCAUUAAGUCCUUAAAAUCUCGCCUAGCAUAUUCCAAAUCCCAGUAGAGUUUUUGCUCUCGUUGCAAAGCACGAACAACCAAUUGAGAAUCAAUUAUUCCAACAAAUAUAAAACGUAAAUACAAUUUAUUAUUUUUUUGAUACAAAUAAUUCUUAAAUUACACAAGUACAACUUGUGUGACAAACUAGUGGAAAUUGGAACGAAAACAACAAUUAUAUUUUACUUUUAAGAAUAUACAUCUGGUAAAAACAAUAAUUAUAUUUUAAGAACAUACAUCUGGUAAAAACAAUAAUUAUAUUUUAAGAACAUACAUCUGGUAAAAACAAAACAAACAUACAUCUGGUUAAAACAAAUAUAUUCAAUUAUAUAUAUUUGAUUCAUUGAGAUUCUUUUGAUGAAACGUAUAAUUUUGUUUCACUACACACAAUAAUUAGACGAAACACAAUUAGAAAAGAAUUUGUGCAAUUUUUGAAUUAGAUAAACAAAACGACAAAUCAAAACCCUACUCCUUUAGUUUCUUGUUUUCCUUUUUCCACAGAGAAGAAAAAGAUUGUACCUUCGAUGAUGAGACAGGAUCAUUUUCUUCUUAGAGGAUGAAAGAUCGAUGAUGAUGUCGAAAAAAACGAAAAGGGAGAUUAGGGUAAAAGAUUGUGAAAGAAUGAUUAGAUUCUUUAAUUGCUAUUUUAAAUUAUUGAU